CAGGAAUGACAGCGAUGCCAGUGACGC
rnacentral:piRNA from 1 species